UUAAGAUUCAUGAAUGAAUAAAUUCUUUACCUCGUAGGGAACAGAUACACGGAAAUGUUAGUUUGUUUUCCUUCUCCUUUGCCCUUCCAUUUAUCUGUUUAUUGCUUCGAUAAAUAUUAAUGAGGAGCCUAUAUGUCUAUCAGCACCCUCCUGGAUGCUGGGAAUCAAAGAUGAGUAUGACAGUUUCUGAUCUUCCUUAGUUCAGAGUCUAGGAGGUAAGACAGUCAUAAACAAAUACCAAAAAAAAAAAAGUGUGUUAACUGGUAUCAUUCAUUAUAACACAAGGUCUCUCUCUUCUGAUGUAUAAAUGCAAUGAGAUGCAUAUUAAAUGACAUUUCACUAUAUACCUCAUAUUACCAUUGUGUGCAAUUAAGGCUGUUUCCGGCGAGCCUGUUUUCAGUUGCUAUCAUUCUCUACUUGGUAUCAUUGCUCUACCCCCUCCCUGUCCCCACCAUAGAGCAGAGCUGCCCAUGGAAAGCCAAUGAGAUGGCCCAGUUCACUGCUGCCCCUAUUCCUCCCUUCCUCAUGACACAGCUUGGGCUUCUGCCCCACAAAUAGGAAAGGAAGGUUGGGAGUCUCUGGCAAAUCAGAUAACUGCCCUAGAUAGAGCAAGUCCCUGUCCCCCUUGUCACUUGGUUCCCUCUACCCUGGUUUGGGCUGUGCUCCUCAGGGGCUGGUGAGACAUUCGGUCAGGUCAGGGAGGUUGGUAGUCCCCGUGCUUCCCAGAAAGAGGCUUUUCCCAGCAGAGCAUCCUCCAGCCUUCUACACGAUCUGGCUCAUGAGGGGUUAAACUCCCACGGAAAAGGUUACUGGGGGCCCUGGCUGGCCUAUCUCUUAUUUAACAAUGGCAAAGAUUCUUCUCUGCAGUAACCUUUGAUCUAAUUGCACACGCAGCAUCAUUCAGUGAGACGGGACUCUUACCGAGUAGGGAAAUGACAAGGGACUGAAGGGCGACAAAAGUUCAGCCCUUGGCUUUGUGGCUUUUUGCCUCAAAUGCCACUCGGGCUCCUGCUGUAGGUGCGCGCAACCAUGGCUCCAAAGUCUAAAUGCCCUGAUAGUGGGGGUGCCUGGGGGGCAGAGCUGUGGCAGGGAGGGGGGAGGACGGGAGAGACAGAGCAGGUCCCCUUAGGAGUCCCAAUGCCCAGCUGCUACAAAUGUGGAUUGAGAAGGGCAUUCAAAUCCAAACAGUGAUCAGGCUGUGUCCAGGUAUUGGAGUGACUUCAGCCCAGAGGUUGACUGUGGGCAGGUCAGAGAGGGUGGGGAACCUGGGGCAGGUCUAAAUAAGAGGGAGAAAAAUGGAGAGCAGUGUAGGAAGGGCCUGGCCGCCUUCUGAGUAUUAAGUCUGAAAAUAGCAAGACAGGCAGAUGGCGGGGUCCUUAUGGCUUCGUCCUGGGAAACAGGCUGAGCUGAGAGAUAUCCCAGAGGGAACACAGAGCCAGUCCCUACAUUCAGUGCCUGUGCUAUGGUACAGGCCUGGCUCUGCCUCCACUCAGGCCCUCCCAGCCUGGCUCCCACACCGACCUCCACUCUGUCUCUCACUGCUGUCACCGUAACCUUUGUAAAACAUAAGCGGAACCAUGUCACCUGCCCCAUAUCCUUCAGCAAGUCUCAAACGCCUGCGGAGUCAGCUCAAACUCUUUGGUUUGGCUUUUAAGCACAUCUAGAAGUUGGGUUCAACCUGCCUUUCAAGUCUCAGUUCCUGCAACAUCCCUCCGCACACCUGGAGCCCUGCCCACCCCACUCUCUGCCAUGGCCCAGUGGUACAAAGCACCGUCCCACCAUUCUCCUUGACUGAUGCGGUCUUCUCUGUAUCUAAUUGACUUCCCUUCUUGCCCCAUGGACCUCCUGCCCCCGUUCCUAGUGCCAGGUGAAGCCAUCCCUGAUCUAGGGUGAGGACUGCUGGUUCCUUGCAUCUCCUCAUUUUCACUUCAACUGGAGACCCAGCCACACCCAGGAGACUACUGGCUGUUGGAGGCCAAGACCUGGGUAAAAGUCAUUUGGUGACAUCCCUGUGCCCAGCUCAGUGCCAGGCUUAUAGCAAGUGCUCGGCGGCUGGUGACUCAAUGAAUGAGCAGCCCUGUCUGAGGUAAGUGGUGAUGAACCACAGAUGUUGGUCCAGGAAGGGCAGGUGCGAGCUAGCGGAGCUGUGGAAGUUAAGUGUCUCCUUUCUUUCACUGUCAUUAUUCAUGUGUCAGGCUGAUCUCUGCAGCCUUGCUACCAAGGGAUAGAGAGCUUGAGGCCUAGGGGCCUGUUCCAAAUGGGUCCAGCUAUUCUUAGGAGCAUUUGGUGUAAUAAAGAGAGUCCCCAGACCAGCCCACUGACCUUUCCCCAGGCCUCCUGUAGGCUGAGUUAUCGCCUCGUACACAGCACACGAACUCCUUCCCUAGAGAAAGAAGAAAGAGCGUAGAGGAUGGAUGAUAAUAACAGCUUCCACUGCGUGGGCAUUUACACGUGCCAGGCCCUCAGUUCAGCAGUUUGGCUAACUCUCUCAUUUAUGCCCACAGGACUUUGGUGACCUAGGAAUGAUAAGAAUGUGUCUCAGAAUGCUUAAGUCACUUGCCUAAGACCACACAGCUAGUAAGUGGUAGAGCUAGAAUUUGGAUCCCAAUCUGACUUCACAAGUUCCCAUUCUCUGGGGGCAGCCUGUGUGACAGAAACAUGGCAUGCCAAUAAAGAGUGCCUUUAUGGCACUGCUGACUACAGGGGCUAGAGUGUCUCAAGCUGGAGAUAAAGGCGGAGAGAUGGAUUAGACCCUGUCAGGACCUUGGCCAGCAGAGAAAGGAGGCAGGCAGCAAGGGGUUCUACUCAGCCCCUUGUCCAGGGGAGGUGGGAUGGGAAGGGUGUGGGGCUUAGCCUGUCAUGGUGGCGGUUCCUGUCCCCUUGGGAGGGGGCUGCUCUUCAUGUGUGUGUAUCCCUGUGCGUGUGAGCCUCUGUCUGGCUUUUUUAUUUUUUAUUUUUUUUCUAUUUAGGGCCGCACCCACGGCAUAUGGAGGUUCCCAGGCUAGGGGUCUAAUUGGAGCUGUAGCCACUGGCCUACACUGCAGCCACAGCAACACCAGAUCUGAGCUGCGUCUGCGACCUACACCACCGCUCAUGGCAACCCCAGAUCCUUAACCCACUGAGCAAGGCCAGGGAUUGAACCCUUGUCCUCAUGGAUCCUGGUUGGGCUCAUUACCAUUGAGCCACAAUGGGAACUCCU
ensembl:lncRNA